CGCGUAGGCGGCCGAUCAAGUCAGGCGUGAAAUUCCCGGGCUCAACCUGGGGGCUGCGCUUGAUACUGAUUGGCUUGAAUGCGGGAGAGGAUAGUGGAAUUCCCAGCGUAGAGGUGAAAUUCGUAGAUAUUGGGAAGAACACCGGUGGCGAAGGCGGCUAUCUGGCCCGUAAUUGACGCUGAGGCGCGAAAGCGUGGGAGCAAACA
rnacentral:rRNA from 1 species